GAUGAACGCUGGCGGCGUGCCUAAUACAUGCGAGUCGAGCGAACAGACGAGGAGCUUGCUCCUCUGACGUUAGUGGCGGACGGGUGAGUAACACGUGGAUAACCUACCUAUAAGACUGGGAUAACUUCGGGAAACCGGAGCUAAUACCGGAUAACAUGUUGAACCGCAUGGUUCAACAGUGAAAGACGGUCUUGCUGUCACUUAUAGAUGGAUCCGCGCCGCAUUAGCUAGUUGGUAAGGUAACGGCUUACCAAGGCAACGAUGCGUAGCCGACCUGAGAGGGUGAUCGGCCACACUGGAACUGAGACACGGUCCAGACUCCUACGGGAGGCAGCAGUAGGGAAUCUUCCGCAAUGGGCGAAAGCCUGACGGAGCAACGCCGCGUGAGUGAAGAAGGUCUUCGGAUCGUAAAACUCUGUUAUUAGGGAAGAACAAAUGUGUAAGUAACUAUGCACGUCUUGACGGUACCUAAUCAGAAAGCCACGGCUAACUACGUG
rnacentral:rRNA from 1 species